rnacentral:rRNA from 1 species
AGUGAACGCUGGCGGUAGGCCUAACACAUGCAAGUCGAACGGCAGCACAGUAAGAGCUUGCUCUUACGGGUGGCGAGUGGCGGACGGGUGAGGAAUACAUCGGAAUCUACUUUUUCGUGGGGGAUAACGUAGGGAAACUUACGCUAAUACCGCAUACGACCUACGGGUGAAAGCAGGGGAUCUUCGGACCUUGCGCGAUUGAAUGAGCCGAUGUCGGAUUAGCUAGUUGGCGGGGUAAAGGCCCACCAAGGCGACGAUCCGUAGCUGGUCUGAGAGGAUGAUCAGCCACACUGGAACUGAGACACGGUCCAGACUCCUACGGGAGGCAGCAGUGGGGAAUAUUGGACAAUGGGCGCAAGCCUGAUCCAGCCAUACCGCGUGGGUGAAGAAGGCCUUCGGGUUGUAAAGCCCCUUUGUUGGGAAAGAAAAGCAGCAGGUUAAUACCCCGCUAUUCUGACGGUACCCAAAGAAUAAGCACCGGCUAACUUCGUG